rnacentral:rRNA from 1 species
CCUACGGGGGGCAGCAGUGGGGAAUAUUGGGCAAUGGGCGCAAGCCUGACCCAGCAACGCCGCGUGAAGGAAGAAGGCUUUCGGGUUGUAAACUUCUUUUCUCAGGGACGAAGAAAGUGACGGUACCUGAGGAAUAAGCCACGGCUAACUACGUGCCAGCAGCCGCGGUAAUACGUAGGUGGCAAGCGUUAUCCGGAUUUAUUGGGUGUAAAGGGAGUGUAGGCGGGAGGGCAAGUCAGAUGUGAAAACUCAGGGCUCAACCCUGAGCCUGCAUUUGAAACUGUGUUUCUUGAGUGCUGGAGAGGCAAUCGGAAUUCCGUGUGUAGCGGUGAAAUGCGUAGAUAUACGGAGGAACACCAGUGGCGAAGGCGGAUUGCUGGACUGUAACUGACGCUGAGGCGCGAAAGCGUGGGGAGCAAACAGGAUUAGAUACCCCAGUAGUC